UACGGGGGGGGCAAGCGUUGUUCGGAAUUACUGGGCGUAAAGGGGUCGUAGGUGGCCUACUAAGUCAUACGUGAAAUCCCUCAGCUUAACUGGGGAACUGCGUCUGAGACUGGAAGGCUUGAGUGCAGGAGAGGAACGCGGAAUUCCAGGUGUAGCGGUGAAAUGCGUAGAUAUCUGGAGGAACACCGGUGGCGAAGGCGGCCUUCUGGACAGUGACUGACGCUGAGACGCGAAAGCGUGGGGAGCAAACAGG
rnacentral:rRNA from 1 species